AUGGAAAGCUCACAGGGACAGCGUCCCUGCCCUGGGAUCACACAUUUAGGGCUGAACGACAGCAUCCACAACCGGAAACAAAAUCGAGAAAGGCAUCUCUUCGUUUUGUGGAAGUGUCUGCUCAGAAGCCCCAGAGCUGAGAGGAGGAGGAGGUGAUGCACUUUGGAACCAUAUUUAGUGACAGCAUUAUUUACAAUUGCCAAGACCUGGAAACAACCCACAUGUCCAUCAGUGGAUGAAUGGA